CCUACGCGAGGCAGCAGUGAGGAAUAUUGGUCAAUGGGCGAGAGCCUGAACCAGCCAAGUCGCGUGAGGGAGUACUGCCCUAUGGGUUGUAAACCUCUUUUGUCGGGGAGCAAAAACCGGACGUGUCCGGCUGUGAGAGUACCCGAAGAAAAAGCAUCGGCUAACUCCGUGCCAGCAGCCGCGGUAAUACGGAGGAUGAGAGCGUUAUCCGGAUUUAUGGGGUUUAAAGGGUGCGCAGGCGGAUUUUUAAGUCAGCGGUCAAAUCGUGGGGCUCAACCCCAUCCAGCCGUUGAAACUGGGGAUCUAGAGUGUGCGAGAGGUAUGCGGAGUGCGUGGUGUAGCGGUGAAAUGCAUAGAUAUCACGCAGAACCCCGAUUGCGAAGGCAGCAUACCGGUGCACAACUGACGCUCAGGCACGAAAGCGUGGGUAUCGAACAGGAUUAGAUACCCUGGUAGUC
rnacentral:rRNA from 1 species